CCCAAUUUGAACCCACGCCUUCUCAGUUCUCACGAAGUCCAGAACUUGAGUCUGGCGCACGAAACCAGUCGGCCGUCCUGAACUACUUGUUUCUUUGAUCUCAGUCUGGCGCAACACACGUUCCUGCACAUUACGAGGUUCUCUUGGCGAAGAAGUAAUAAUGGAAGGGAUUUCUUCUGCUUGCGACAUGGAGUGGAGCAUUGAGCAGGCCCUUCGCUCCAGCAAACCUGGAAGCAUUAGAAGAGUAGAUCAACCAAGAAAAGCUGUAGAGUUCUUCGAAUUCAACUUGAGCCUGCUUGAAUCGAUGAUUGCAUUUGCAGACACGCAAUUGACAUGAAUUUCCUCGUGUAACAGACACCAAUGAGAUUUUUCUCCUAGAUUUGCCAAGACCAACAGACAAAAGAGCAAGGAAGAGGCGACUCUGUCAGGUUCAUGCAGAUGGUACAUGGAAACACAAACAAUGUGAGUCUCACCAACUUUUGAUGGACUACGUAAUGGCUAACCUCUGUGUUAAAGAUUCCCUACCGUAUUAGUCAGCUCUUGGUACAGACACAAAGAAGAAAUCGUGCUAGCUGAAAUUGCUGUGCAUUUUGUUGAAAUUCACAGUUUAAACACAUCAAUAAUAUUGUUUGUUUUUGGUUUGUUAGUUUA